CUGGUGGUCAUCAACCUGGCUCAAACGUGAGUAAGUUGACCCAAAAUUUGGAUGACCCUUCAGGACUGGGGGCAUUCUGCAUCUCUGCUGAACAGGAGAGAGGGAGAAGAGGGGAUGAUGCAGGAGACAGACAGCAGUACUGGCAAAGAUUUCAAUCACGGGUGAUGGAUCCAUAUUUGGAUGGCCUCAUUGCCCAUCUCGAGAGACGUUUCUGCGAGGUUGGAGUCGUGGCUGCAUUUGGGAUACUCGGUCCUCAAGCAGCUACACUCCCUGACGACACUGCACACACAAAACUGAGGAUACUGGCAGAGAAGUUUUGUUCCCGUGUCGAUUUUGGCACAGUCCUUGAAGAAUGGGCCUCUUUCAAGGAGCAAGUGGUCGCUGGUCCACUCAAGAACAAGACACAGCUGGCCAUACUGUCUGAUCUGUCCUCAAAAUAUGAGGAGUUUGGUGUCCUGUACCCAACUAUGAGCCUGCUAGCUUCCAUUGCCCUGACGGUCCCGGUCAGCAGUGUAAACUGUGAGAGGGACUUCUCAACCAUGAACAGGGUAAUAAAU